rnacentral:lncRNA from 1 species
UUCAAUCUCUUCCACCGCCAUUACUCCUUUUCUCCUUUUAUUUUUUUGGUUGAACCAUAUUCAAUAUUCAAAUUGCAUAGUUUAGAAUCCCACUUUCUUUUCUCUAACUAUCACGAGCCUCCCUUCUCCACUCUCACCCACACCCACAUCCACCCUCACUUGUUGCAAAUCUUGGCAAACCACCGCUGACCAAACACAACUCUACCACGUAGUCUUCGGGAUUGCAGACUCGUCGAAGCUUUUGGAGUAGAGGAGGAACUACAUCAAACUAUGGACAAGGCGAGCGAGAUGUUCGACGUGGUAUGGCUUGACAACAAGGUUGGCUCCUGUGGGAAGGGAGAGCGGCUGCCGCCGGGGAGAAUCUCGGACAACACUUCAAAGUUUUCGCACACGAACCGUCAGAGACACCAUUCAGCGACCAGUCAGAGACGUCGGCACUGGAAAUGGGGAACGCGCGGACAACCUUGAUUCUUAGGGUUCCAGCUUGUUCAGAUUAUUCCAUUGAUUUUGGUAAUGGGGUGGCUGAAAGUUUGUAUUUUUCAAUUGUUUUCAACUUGUGUUAUUUCUUUGGUUUUUACUGAAAAAUGAGAAGACUAGAUUAAGAGUGAAAAAGUUCUUGCAUGUUGAUUAAUCACUAAUAAGCUAAACAUAGGAUUUAUUGAACUUGGGAGCCCAAUGUUUUGAUUGCAGUGAUUGAGGUUGUGAAAUUUGUGGAUAUUGAAGAUGUGCAUUGAUUUAGAGGAGGGUGGGUUUGAACUUUUAUAGCGUAUAGUCUCUAGUUCUGGUAAGAGAAAUUCAUAGGACGAGGAUUUCCAUGAUGAUUUUGGGUUUAUGGGUUGUUGAGAGUAAUUUUUGAAAAUGGGUUCAAUCGUCAUAGUGGUCAUGAUCAGAGUUGGGAGGGACCGAGGGAAGCUCUAAAAAUCUUUGGUUGGGAGAGGCAUAGCUUGAAGGAGGAAGAAAAAAGCAUGGAUUGAGAAUUCAUCUUUCAUGGUGGUGGAAGAGGCUGAAGGAAUCACAAGAGUGGAGGAGUUAAAAGGUUGGAGAUGAUAAAAAAGUGUAAUUUGGAAAUUUUAGCGGAUUUUUAACAGAGUUAACUUUAAAAGUAACAAUUUGAUAUUUUUGUCAAACAGAACUCAUUUUUCAUAGUCAUUUCGUUAGUUUAAUUUUUUAAAACAUAAGUAUAUUCUAAUAUAAACUCUAAAAUAUCAUCUAAACUAAUACUAAGAUCAAAACAAUAUAAAGAAAUCCAAUGUCAAGAACAAUGAAUUAAGAUAACAACAUAAACUAAGAUCAAAUCGACAAUAAUAAGAUUAAGAUAAAAAAUAAUUUAUCAAAUUAACAAGGUAUCAAAAUGUCAAGAACAGCACCACAACAACAAUUUAUCAAAUUAACAACUUAAUAAGAUCAAGAAUAUAACAAAACAAGUUAAUAAUCAAAACAAGUUAUAAUCAAAACAAGUUAAUCCAGCAAACCAACAACAAAACAAGAACUGGAAUAGCAACCAAAUUAAAGCAACAACCAACUAACAAUAACUGAAAAUCAACAGAGGAGCGAGAGGGAGCUGGAGCUUACCUGAGACUUUCACACGUUCUGAACAUCAACAGAGGAGGGAGAGGGAGCUGGAGCUUUAUAACUCAACGGAGAUGGCUAAACAGCGGCGGAACGGAGGCUGAACAGAGGCUAGAAGACGAGGGUUGGAGCACGGCGGAACAGAGGCUGCACGGCGGCGGGAGCACGGCGUAACGGCGGCGGAAGCACGGCGAAACAGAGGGGAAGCUCGUCAAAAUAGGCGGAAUAGAGGCGUUGCGACGAGUUGGAGCGACACGGACGGCAUCGGUGGCUGGACAGGUUGAAGAACGGCGACAAGAUGGAAGUUGCAACUUCCUCUGCUGCCUUCAGAGAUGGAGG